GCGUUGGUGGUAUAGUGGUGAGAAUAGCUGCUUCCCAAGCAGCUGACCCGGGUUCGAUUCCCGGCCAAUGCA
rnacentral:tRNA from 1 species